UGCGUGUAUUUAUUUUAUAUUUUUAUAUAUAUAUUUUCUGCUGCCUUCAGGAUGUUUUGUGCCAAGAAGGGAGAAAGAAAUCCUGACAAAUAACAAGUUCAUGGAGUGCUUAAAUCUGAAGACAUGUUCAAGGAUUCCUUUUCUUCCUGAAAGGACCUGCUGGCACUUCUCUCCCCAGCUGUCUCUGAGUGAAGGCAGGCAGGCUGGCAGCUGGACAGGGUUGGAGGAGCAGAGCAUAAACUCCAGAUGAUUGUCUGGACUGGCUCAAGGGGCCGUCAGGUGUGAGGUUUGGAUGGAGAUCUGUGGAGUUUGACGCCUUGCCCAGACAGAGCUGGAGUUCAAUCACUCAAAGGCACGUCCGGCCAGACACAGCCAUUGUGUCGGGUCCUGGAAUGGGAAUAUCCUGAGAUUUCUAUCGGAGACACAGAAGGUUUGGCCUCACAGGUCACUUCACUUCUUUCUGGCCCCUGCUGCUGAUAAACAGCUCCAACUCCUGUGCUUGCAGAGCUGUUUGCUGGUGCCUGUAGGUGUCCAGAUCUACCUGAGGAGGGGAUUUUUGCCUUUUGGCCUGGGUGUUCCAGCCCCUGGGCAGGGAAGCUGUGCUCCGUGAGCUCGGCACGAGCCAGAUUUAUUUGAGUCUGCACUCCUGCUCGUUAGAAAAAGCCUGAGGUGGAGAGGGUGUAUCUUAGUAAUGGCAUCAAGGGUGUUUAUUUGGAGACAGGUUGAGAUUUAGAGUGUCACUUUGGAUUGUUAUAAAUUGAACUGUUUACUCUUUGCCCGGUUAUUUAUGCUGCCAUGAUAUUGCAGCAGUGAAAUCCACUGCUCUGGCAGGAUCAGCCCCUGAUCCCACUGAUGUAGGGCCGUGGCCAGAGCUCCUCUGUCACUCUGUGCCAGAGCUGUCACUGCAGUGUCUCCUCUUUAAUCUUUACGCCACAGCAACAGCAGUGACCAGACAGCCCACGGUGACUCCCAGAAGAGCAGCAGCAAAAAUAUUCAGCUUAUUUUAUCUGUGCCAGAUCCCAGACUGAUCCAUCAUCCUCCAGAGAGCAGUGAGACCACCCCAAGAGCUGAGGGACAGUGUCCACCCUCUUCCUGCAGCACAUCUGAGGGGGCUGGUGACAUCCUGCCUGCUGCAGAGCUGCUUCUGUCAGGAUAACCAGGUAGGGAGCAAAAUAUGUCUGUUUUUAAAGGCCUGGAGAGGCCAGAAUAAUCCAAACUCAGGCUUGGCAAGGCACAGCAUUGCAGCACAUUCCUCCACUACUCUAACUCCAGGCUGGGGCUGUACAGACAGACGAUACUGGCAAGGCAGCAGGAGUUGAGUUUGUGUUUUUUUUUUGGGGGGGGGAAUAAAGAUUAAUGCAGCAACUGUU
rnacentral:lncRNA from 1 species